AUCACUUCUCGGCCUUUUGGCUAAGAUCAAGUGUAGAGAAGGGAGCUCAUCCUGUUUGAAGGAUGUAAUUAUGCAAAUAAGGCCUUAAGCAAACUGAACUAAAGUCUUGCUUCAUUUUCUCACAUCUUUGGUACAGCGAGAACCACAUUGUGUGUCUCCAUGUUGUUUGGAGACUUGCACAAACCCUGCAAUGCUGCAUCCUUCU
rnacentral:snRNA from 1 species